CUCACAUCUUCAAUCUCUAAUUUUAAAUAUAAAAAUAAUAUAAGUAUUUGUUAAAAAAAAAAAUUUAUAUAACCAGUUGUUAGAAAAGUUAAAUUUUAAAAUCUUAACCUCAUACUUAUAUAGCUAAACUCUGAAUCCAUACUCCAAAUUUCAAACCAUAUAUAAUAAACAUAACCUUUAAACUUUAAAUUUUAAUAUUUUAGUUCACAUUUAAUCAUAUACUUCAUUCUAAAUCUUAACCCUAAACCAUAAACCAAAUACCUCAUAUUAACAUAUAUCAUAAUACAUUAAAUCUUAAUUUUUAAAUAAAUUAUAUUCAUACAAUAAAAACAUACUACUCCAAACUAACAACAUUUCACAUUAUACAUUUACAAAAUAAAAUUAAACCACCAAAUAAUAAACCAAAAAAUACAAUCUAAUCUUUUCAGUCAAACCCUAAACCAUAUAUAUAUAUAUAUCAUACCCCAACCAAAUACCUCAACAUAUAAUAUUAAUUAAUAAAUUUUUAAAACUAAACCGUAAAAUAUUGAUUAUAAAAUCUUCGUUUUAUUCAAACAUCAAUUUUAAAAAGUUAUAAACCAAAAGUCAUCAAAAUGUUGAAAAUAGAACAACAAAAGAUAAAAACAAAGAGGAAUUCUAUUGGAUAACUAAUAAAUAAAAAGGAAAAUUACAGGCCAAUCCGCUCUCAUCACGCGGAUCACUCUCUGAGCCGUAGGAUACAAAUAGAUCAAUGGAUGAGAUUUUCUUAUUUUCUUUUUUCUUUUUCUUUUUUUUCUCUAUCUCUCUUUCUCGCUCUUAUCUUCACAGAUCUUUUUUUUUAGAUCUCUCCACCUUCGACAAAUCUCUUUUAUUUUACAGAUCUCUUUUUCUUAAUCAUCUCAUACACACACAUCACUGUCUUACUCUCCUAACCUCACUCACACACGAUUCAUCUCACAGACAUCUCUCUGUUUCACUCUCAUAAUCUCUCUGUCUCACGCACGACACAUCCCCAACCAUCUUCUUCAGAAAGCGACGGUGGAGGCGCCAAAGCAAUGGUGGAAGCUGCGGCAGACUCGUCUCUGGUCAAGCACUGCGUUGGCUUCACCUCCUCACCACCACCGCAGAUUUAUUAAGGAGCAAGGGAAGGAGAAGCAGUGGUGUGGCAUAGCGAUCAAGCGUGGCGCGGCGGUGAGGUGGUGGUCGUGCGGUGGAGAUGCGAGCCUCAUGGUCGGCGGAGACUGAAGAAGAAUGUAGUUUGGUGGCCGUAUUAGGUUUAGUUAGGGUUAAUUAGUUAACCAAUUUGUAAUUCUAAACCAAUUUGUAAUUGUACCAUUUUGUAAUUGUAAACCAUGUAAACCAAAA